CCUACGGGAGGCAGCAGUGAGGAAUAUUGGUCAAUGGACGAGAGUCUGAACCAGCCAAGUAGCGUGAAGGAUGACUGCCCUAUGGGUUGUAAACUUCUUUUAUAUGGGAAUAAAAUGUUCCACGUGUGGGAUUUUGUAUGUACCAUAUGAAUAAGGAUCGGCUAACUCCGUGCCAGCAGCCGCGGUAAUACGGAGGAUCCGAGCUUUAUCCGGAUUUAUUGGGUUUAAAGGGAGCGUAGGUGGAUUGUUAAGUCAGUUGUGAAAGUUUGCGGCACAACCGUAAAAUUGCAGUUGAAACUGGCAGUCUUGAGUACAGUAGAGGUGAGCGGAAUUCGUGGUGUAGCGGUGAAAUGCUUAGAUAUCACGAAGAACUCCGAUUGCGAAGGCAGUUCACUGGACUGCAACUGACACUGAGGCUCGAAAGUGUGGGUAUCAAACAGGAUUAGAUACCCCAGUAGUC
rnacentral:rRNA from 1 species